rnacentral:rRNA from 1 species
UACAGAGGUCUCAAGCGUUGUUCGGAAUCACUGGGCGUAAAGGGCGCGUAGGCGGCCAUUCAAGUCGGGGGUGAAAGCCUGUGGCUCAACCACAGAAUUGCCUUCGAUACUGUUUGGCUUGAGACCGGAAGAGGUUAGUGGAACUGCGAGUGUAGAGGUGAAAUUCGUAGAUAUUCGCAAGAACACCAGUGGCGAAGGCGGCUAACUGGUCCGGUUCUGACGCUGAGGCGCGAAAGCGUGGGGAGCAAACAGG